rnacentral:rRNA from 1 species
AACCCUUACCUUCAGUUGCUACGCAAGAGCACUCUAAAGGGACUGCCGUUGACAAAACGGAGGAAGGUGGGGAUGACGUCAAAUCAUCAUGCCCCUUAUGACCUGGGCUACACACGUACUACAAUGGCAAUUAACAAAGAGAAGCAAGACGGUGACGUGGAGCGAAUCUCAAAAAAUUGUCCCAGUUCAGAUUGCUUUGCUGCAACUCGCCUGCAUGAAGUCGGAAUUGCUAGUAAUCGCGGAUCAGCAUGCCGCGGUGAAUACGUUCCCGGGCCUUGUACACUCCGCCCGUCACACCCUGGGAGUCGGUCACACCCGAACUCGGUAGUCUUCACAGCAAUGAGGACGCCGCCCAAUGUGCGAUUGAUGACUGGGGUGAAUUCUUA